GGAUUCCCCUAGUAACUGCGAGUGAACCGGGAAAAGCUCAAAUUUAAAAUCUGAUAGUCUUUUGGCUGUCCGAGUUGUAAUCUAGAGAAGUGUUAUCCGCGCUGGACCGUGUAUAAGUCUCCUGGAAUGGAGCGUCAUAGAGGGUGAGAAUCCCGUCUUUGACACGGACUGCCAGGGCUUUGUGAUGCGCUCUCAAAGAGUCGAGUUGUUUGGGAAUGCAGCUCAAAAUGGGUGGUAAAUUCCAUCUAAAGCUAAAUAUUGGCGAGAGACCGAUAGCGAACAAGUACCGUGAGGGAAAGAUGAAAAGAACUUUGGAAAGAGAGUUAAACAGUACGUGAAAUUGCUGAAAGGGAAACGCUUGAAGUCAGUCGCGUUGGCCGGGGAUCAACCUUGCUUUUGCUGGGCGUACUUUCCGGUUGACGGGUCAGCAUCAAUUUUGAUUGUUGGAUAAAGUCAAGGGAAAUGUGGCAUCUUAGGAUGUGUUAUAAUCUCUUGUCGUAUACAACGGUUGGGAUUGAGGAACUCAGCACGCCGCAAGGCCGAGUACUUGUACUACGUUCGUGCUUAGGAUGCUGGCAUAAUGGCUUUAAUCGACCCGUCUUGAAACACGGACCAAGGAGUCUAACAUGCCUGCGAGUGUUUGGGUGGAAAACUCGAGCGCGUAAUGAAAGUGAAAGUUGAGAUCCCUGUCGUGGGGAGCAUCGACGCCCGGACCAGACCUUUUUGUGACGGAUCCGCGGUAGAGCAUGUAUGUUGGGACCCGAAAGAUGGUGAACUAUGCCUGAAUAGGGUGAAGCCAGAGGAAACUCUGGUGGA
rnacentral:rRNA from 1 species